rnacentral:lncRNA from 1 species
UGCUUCAUCUGUUUCGAACCAAAAACACCAAACAACCACUGUACCACGACUGUUCUUCAACCUUGGUGAGUUUUUCGAGUUUCACUAUUCUUAAAAUUAUUACAUGUUUUAGAAAGGUCUCUUGAUGCUGAGUUCAUUGAUGGUUUACAAAAACACCAAACAACCACUGUACCACGACUGUUCUUCAACCUUGGUGAGUUUUUCGAGUUUCACUAUUCUUAAAAUUAUUACAUGUUUUAGAAAGGUCUCUUGAUGCUGAGUUCAUUGAUGGUUU